rnacentral:rRNA from 1 species
CUGGGAGCUGGGGAUAAUUCCGGAUAGGCCACAGAUGCUGGAAUGCACUGUGGCUCAAAGCUCCGGCGCCGAAGGAUGGGUCUGCGGCCUAUCAGGGUUGUAGUGGGUGUAAUGUACCUACUAGCCUACGACGGGUACGGGUUGUGAGAGCAAGAGCCCGGAGAUGGAUUCUGAGACACGAAUCCAGGCCCUACGGGGUGCAGCAGGCGCGAAAACUUUACAAUGCGGGAAACCGUGAUAAGGGAAUCUCGAGUGCCAGCAUAUAAUGUUGGCUGUCCAGAUGCCUAAAAAGCAUCUGUUAGCAAGGGCCGGGCAAGACCGGUGCCAGCCGCCGCGGUAACACCGGCGGCCCGAGUGGUAACCGCUUUUAUUGGGUCUAAAGGGUCUGUAGCCGGCCAUGUAAGUCCCUUGGGAAAUCUGGCAGCUCAACUGUCAGGCUGCUAGGGGAUACUGCUUGGCUUGGGACCGGGAGAGGUGAGAGGUACCUUGAGGGUAGGGGUGAAAUCUUGUGAUCCUCGGGGGACCACCAGUGGCGAAGGCGUCUCACCAGAACGGGUCCGACGGUAAGGGACGAAAGCUAGGGGCACGAACCGGAUUAGAUACCCGGGUAGUCCUAGCCGUAAGCGAUGCUCGCUAGGUGUCAGUCACGGUGCGACCGUGAUUGGUGCCGUAGGGAAGCCGUGAAGCGAGCCACCUGGGAAGUACGGCCGCAAGGCUGAAACUUAAAGGAAUUGGCGGGGGAGCACUACAACGGGUGGAGCCUGCGGUUUAUUG